rnacentral:rRNA from 1 species
UACGUAGGGCGCAAGCGUUUGUCCGGAAUUAUUGGGCGUAAAGAGCUCGUAGGCGGCUUGUCACGUCGGGUGUGAAAGCCCCGGGGCUUAACCCCCGGGUCUGCAUUCGAUACGGGGCUGGCUAGAGUGUGGUAGGGGGAGAUCGGAAUUCCUGGUGUAGCGGUGAAAUGCGCAGAUAUCAGGAGGAACACCGGUGGCGAAGGCGGAUCUCUGGGCCAUUACUGACGCUGAGGAGCGAAAGCGUGGGGAGCGAACAGG